rnacentral:misc_RNA from 1 species
GUACAAAUAGAACCAUGCAUAGACGUUCAUCACAAUUCACAAAUUCAAUUUGAAACUUCCAACACAUUCAUCACUAGGACUUGUAGGCUCAAAUGGUACCCUAAUCUACAUCUCCUAGAGAAGAUUGUGAAGGCCCUUGCCCGCCUUCUUCUAUUUUCUUCGCAGUCUCACCUCCUAAUCCAGACUGUGAAGACACUGGUGCACCUUCUUCCAACUUCUUCCAGCCAUCCCCAGCCUUGUUCUCUCCUAACCCCUGAGCCGUGUCAUAAGAUGCAUGCAAUCCUAAUAGGAAAUAAUACACCAACAAAACACCACUCCAGAUACCAAAUCUUACAAACGACGGCCCGUCUAUCGACCCUAGAAGGAAAAUGUUGAUAAGAAUCGAAGCAGAUGGCAACCAUGGCACCAGUGGAACACCCCACAUUUUCGGAGCCCUUGCCUGUGGAACAAAAACAUCAAGUGCUAAUGUACCCAAGAACCAUAUUGGUAUGGUAAUCACAUAUCCAAUCCAGCCAUCUACUCCUGCACCCCAAAUAGCAGCAGUAGCAGUAGAGGAACCAAGAAUCACCGAAAUGCAAACGAUGAGCUUGGUAUGAUUUGCAGAUGUCGUGACCCCAGUAACAUAGUAGCGGCGAACAAGAAGAGCCACCGCCACAAGCAUGAAGAUGAACAAUGUAGAGAUGGAGAGAAGAUUGGCGAGAAUAUCCAUCUUUGUAAAGAAAGCGACGAUAGCUGUAGCAGUGAUCAUAACAAUGGUGGCAUUUACUGGAGUUCCUGUUUUUCCAUUAACAUGAGCAAACCAUGGAGGCAUCAUGUGAGUACGAGCAAUG